rnacentral:snRNA from 1 species
AGAUUAUCAUGGCCCCUGCACAAGCAUGACAUGAAAAUUUAUGAAGCAAAAAAAAAUUUA